CACACCCAUACACACCCCAGUUUAGCAACAUGAACUCCUAAAACAAAAGUGAAAUAACCAGUAUGCAUGAUAAAUAGAUGUAACAUUUUCCAAAUUCAUGUCAUUGUUCAUUAUACUGUAUUUCAGUCUUGCUAGUAGUAUCCUGGAGAUUUUCUCUGAGCAUCAUGGUUAAAGUUUCUCUUGACUACGUUCUGGCUUCAUAGAUGCCUGGACUUGUCAGCUUCAGCAAUUCUGGUGUCUGUAAUGAUUCCACAAUAGUUCCUGUCAUGCUUCUGCAGUCACUGACAGAUUUUCUCAUGACCUUUUCUGACCUUCAAAGAAUUACCGUAGGUUUUUGUCUAUUUUCCCAAAUGCCAAGGAAUACAAUUUUUUCCAGCAGGUCACUUAAAAGUGUAUUGAUCAUCUGUAAGGUUCAGAUUUAGUCUGGAUAUCUUUAGUAAAAGUCAUGGUAGCAAACAAAAUUCAUAACCUGUGACCUAUCCAUAACUGUACUAGAUACCCCUGGUGCUCAAGGUGGGGAUGCAAGGCUCCUGACCUUCACUGAUGCUUUGGGGUAGUAGGGGGAGGAGGUGCAGCACAUGGCCCAGCACCCCCACCGGUGCUCAGGAGAGGAUAUACAUGAAGGAACCUGAAAACAAUGAACUUUAAAGAACUCUAAAAAGCUGUGGGACCCAGGCCAGCAAAAAAGAUCAGCUCUGUCUUGAAGAAUUUUACUUGGAAUAAGGACAAGGAUCUUCCAGAAAGGCAUCCCAAGUUGAUACGAGGACAUCAAGAGACUGAGAAUCCACCACUGCUUGGGGAGUUCUUAUUUUGUGCCAGCAUGGCUGAAUAUGUCGUCCACCCCUCCUCGGCCUGGCAUGCAGGCAGCCAGCCCCCUCACACCUCUGCCCUUUGCCCUUUGGAGCUCAUGGAUCUGGGAGUUACUGAGCAGCAGCCGCCAUUGGAGCAGCCUCUGCCAUCCCUGGAGCUGGGUGACGAGGAGGAGAUCAACUCGCCACCAGACCCUGAUGUGCCCUAUCCUGACUUGGCACCUGUGGUGUUUUUUUGCUUGAAACAGACCACUAGCCCUCGCAACUGGUGCAUCAAAAUGGUGUGUAAUCCAUAUCCUUUUAGCUCUGCCUGUUCUCUCUUCGUUCCAUGUCCCCUCCCCCUGCCCUUGCAGGGCAUCCGACAGGUAAGAGAGGAGGUUUUGUACAUAUUAAAC